GACGAACGCUGGCGGCGUGCUUAACACAUGCAAGUCGAACGGUGAAGCGCCUUCCUUUUUGGUGGGUGUGGAUGAGUGGCGAACGGGUGAGUAACACGUGAGUAACCUGCCCCCUUCUUCUGGAUAACCGCAUGAAAGUGUGGCUAAUACGGGAUAUUCUGGUUCUGUCGCAUGAUGGGUCUGGGAAAGAUAUUGUUUCGGUGGGGGCUGGGCUCGCGGCCUAUCAGCUGGUUGGUGGGGUGAUGGCCUACCAAGGCGGUGACGGGUAGCCGGCCUGGGAGGGUGGACGGUCACACUGGGACUGAGGCACGGCCCAGACUCCUACGGGGGGCAGCAGUGGGGAAGAUUGCACAGUGGGCGCAAGCCUGAUGCAGCGGCGCCGCGUGAGGGAUGGAGGCGUGCGGGGUGUGAACCUCUUUCGCUAGUGAAGCAGGCCUGCCUCGUUUGUGGGUGGGUUGACGGUAGCGGGAGAAGAAGCGCCGGCUAACUACGUG
rnacentral:rRNA from 1 species